AUUCUGUACCUCCUUCGUAGUAUUUGGUACUAGAGUAGCACUCGAUUCAGUAGUCUCUUAGUAGUUGUUGGAACUUCGUAGACCUCCUCCUCCUCCUCCUACUAACCUCCUUCCUCCGUCCUCCCACAGAAUGCGCAUCUGACGAGCUCCUGGUUUGUAGCUCCUUGAGGUCCUUCUCUCUUCCCCUACUUGUGAACGGGUGGCCCAUUUAGGAGAUGGACAGUUGGGUGGUCCCCCGUGACUUCUCCUUUGCUUCUUAUGCUUCCUGCUGCUUCUCGUGCCUCCUGUUUGCUCCCUCUUAUAAUAUCCUUGGGUCCUAAUACAGAAUCUUGAAGUGCCUCAGAUCAAUGUGGUUGGCUCCUCUCUGGUUCCGUUUUAAUAAACGACGAGCAGUGGCCCCUCCAGUCUUGGCCCUUUCUGUUCAGUCGUCCUUCCGCAAGGACAUUCCAUUGAUCCCUUCUUGUAUAUGCCCUGAUGCAGUCCUGAUUUCCUCAUUUCUUGUUGAUCCUUUCUCGCACUACAGAUGAGCCCCUAGUUCCGUCAUUUGUAGCCGCUGACUGGUCGCUUAUGUCACUUAGAAAACGAUUUCUUUUUGAAAUCAUCAUUGGGGACAGUCGGUUUUCCUCCAUAACUGCUGGAAGAGGUCCUGCUGACAUCUGAUUUCCUCAUUUCAUUAUCCCAAUUGAUCAUAUAUCGCAUGUGUUCCUGAUUCAGUUUCUUCAAUUAGUUGGAUCUAGAUUCCACACCGUUUCAAAUGGUUGGAUAAGCUGAUAUUUCUUUGUAAAUGGAUAUGUCCUUGGUGCAUCCUUGAUGUUCUUGAAGCCAUAGGGGUCGACUUAUCCUCAGAUCCUUCUGGACGUGUGGUUCUCCUUUCUUUUGUUCCUGUUUCCUGUCCGCGGACGGCGCGGAGUGGGCUCUCCAGUCUUGGCCCUUUCUGUUCAAUCGUCCUCCUGCCAGGACGUCCCUCCUUUCCUGAUUUCCUUCCCGCUUAUUUGCUCUUAUUUUUGAUUUCUUUCUUGUAUAUUCCCUGAAGCGGUCCUGAUCCUUGAUUUUGUUUUGUUGGUAUUUCGAUUGCGGCCCUGAUUACCUUUGUGAUUCUGUUUCUUAAAUGAUAUAUUUCUUAUUGAUCCUAUCUCCCAUUCAAGCUGGGUUCCUAGUUAGGCCAUUUAUCUUCUAAAAAAAUGAAUUUUUUUUGGAAAUCAUCAUUGAGAAG
rnacentral:sRNA from 1 species